rnacentral:rRNA from 1 species
UGGGGAAUUUUGGACAAUGGGCGAAAGCCUGAUCCAGCAAUGCCGCGUGUGUGAAGAAGGCCUUCGGGUUGUAAAGCACUUUUGUCCGGAAAGAAAUCCUUGGCUCUAAUACAGUCGGGGGAUGACGGUACCGGAAGAAUAAGCACCGGCUAACUACGUGCCAGCAGCCGCGGUAAUACGUAAGGUGCAAGCGUUAAUCGGAAUUACUGGGCGUAAAGCGUGCGCAGGCGGUUUGCUAAGACCGAUGUGAAAUCCCCGGGCUCAACCUGGGAACUGCAUUGGUGACUGGCAGGCUAGAGUAUGGCAGAGGGGGGUAGAAUUCCACGUGUAGCAGUGAAAUGCGUAGAGAUGUGGAGGAAUACCGAUGGCGAAGGCAGCCCCCUGGGCCAAUACUGACGCUCAUGCACGAAAGCGUGGGGAGCAAACAGGAUUAGAUACCCUGGUAGUCCACGCCCUAAACGAUGUCAACUAGUUGUUGGGGAUUCAUUUCCUUAGUAACGUAGCUAACGCGUGAAGUUGACCGCCUGGGGAGUACGGUCGCAAGAUUAAAACUCAAAUGAAUUGACGGGGUCAUAGCUGUUUCCU